GAUGAACGCUAGCGGAAGGCCUAAUACAUGCAAGUCGAGUGGGUAACAGGGGAGCUUGCUCCCGCUGACGACCGGCGAACGGGGUGAGUAACGGCGUACGUAACCUACCUUCAAGAGAGGGGAUAGCCCUGGGGAAACUGGGAUUUAAUACUUCAUGGCAUCAUAAGAUCACCUGAUCUAAUGAUUAAAGCUGAGGCGCUUGAAAGAUGGGCGUGCGUUCUAUUAGAUAGUUGGUGAGGUAACGGCUCACCAAGUCAGCGAUAGAUAGGGGGCGUGAGAGCGUGGUCCCCCACACGGGUACUGAGACACGGACCCGACUCCUACGGGAGGCAGCAGUAAGGAAUAUUGGACAAUGGGCGAAAGCCUGAUCCAGCCAUUCCGCGUGUAGGAUGACGGCCCUCUGGGUUGUAAACUACUUUUAUUUGGGAAGAAACCCUGGGAUUUAUCCCGGGCUGACGGUACCAAAAGAAUAAGCACCGGCUAAUUCCGUGCCAGCAGCCGCGGUAAUACGGAAGGUGCAAGCGUUAUCCGGAAUCACUGGGUUUAAAGGGUGCGUAGGCGGUUGCGUAAGUCAGAAGUGAAAGCUCACAGCUUAACUGUGGAAUUGCUUUUGAUACUGCGCGACUAGAAUUAGGUUGAGGUUGGCGGAAUGUGACAUGUAGCGGUGAAAUGCAUAGAUAUGUCAUAGAACACCAAUUGCGAAGGCAGCUGACUGGACCUAUAUUGACGCUGAGGCACGAAAGCGUGGGGAGCCGAACAGG
rnacentral:rRNA from 1 species